UUACAUUAGUCGGGGUGCUACGUUUCAGUAGCUGAGAUAACACCCGUGAACCUGAUACAGCUAAUACUGGCGUAGGAAACUAAUUGUAAAAGAUU
rnacentral:ncRNA from 2 species